rnacentral:lncRNA from 1 species
GCUUCUCCAAAUUGGAAAGGAAAAGAGCCGAUCUCAGAAAGCACGACUGUUGAUGCAACACCAGAUGCAGUUUGGUCGAAAAAAUUCAAAGCAUUGGAGGUAUUUACAAUAUAUUUCAAUAAUUUUGUUGAUUAUCGAACUCAUUUUUGUUUUCAUUUUCAGAACAAGUGUAACGAGAGUCAAAAAGACGUCUCCAAAUACAAGAAGAAGUUCAAUGCUAUGAAAUCAUAUAUGAAGAAACUGAAUAAGACUUUGAAGACUUCUGAACUCGACAUGACGCAGAUGGCU